UUAUGGAUUGCUCCUUUACAAAAAAGAAACACAUUUAGUUUAUUUGCUUUCACCCCAAAUUUUAUAAAACAUACAUCUGUGAUUUUAACAAACCCAACCCUCCUUGGGAAACAUUUGACAAAUGUUUUCUGACAAGAACAGCUAAUAUACAAAAUAACUUGUUCAAAAGCAGGAAACUUACUGGUAAAAGAGCUCAUCUUUACAAUCCUGGCAUUUACACUGAAAACUAAAUAAUUAUUUUAAACAGGUUUAAAGCAUACAAACACUUGUUAACCAUGUGUACUGGUCACUAACUGGUUUAAAUCGAGGAAUUGUGUGUUGAAUUCAGGUUCAGUACAUUUAAUCAAAUCAAAACCAGUAUCUUGAAUACAGGGGUGAGACAAACAAUCAUCGUACACUCAGACAAUGACAAUUUGGGUUAAUUUAUUCAUAUUAAUUCAGGAUCCAGCAUAAUUUUCCUGACUAAAAUGUCUGGAUGUUGGUCUUGAUUAAGUUAAAAUCACAAUUCUUUCUUGACUAAAUUACCAUCAAAAUUGGAAUACACAAAACAAUGACGUACAUAAUAAAAAAUGCUAUAUCUUCUAACAGACACGUGUUCAGUUAAGAGCCGCAUAUCCUACAAUACUCACAAACCAUAUACAAAUGUUCCCACUUUAGUAACUUUUGGGAUUCUGUGACGCCAUAUUUGAUAGUCCAUACAGUUUAGAUCGUUGAAGGUGAAGGGAUCUGGACCAUUUUUUGGGUUGUAAGAGCUCGUCCUCAUCCGUUGGUCAUUUCGAAUGGGAUGGCCUCCCUUUUAUCUUGCAGCAGCUGAAAUGGAGAGUUCAAAAUUAACAAACUAGUUAUCUAUUAUAAAACCCUAACCCAGGAUCUAAUCUGACAGGUGUGGUUAUAUAAAUGAGACCGUUCUUUAUAUUACAACAUCCCUCGCAUUAGAAUAGGAAUAUCCAGGGCCACGAUCAGUAGCCAAAGGUUGUCAAACAUUGUAGAUAGAAAUGCCAGGAAUAGAGACAACGUGAUUCCUUAAUUUAAAUGACAGAGGCAUCCUUGUUCUGCAUAGUACAUUUCUAUCUGAAUGUUCCAUAACGUCGCGUCCUGCUGAACUCACCCCUGGUGCGUUUGCUUCAUGGUUGCUCAACAGAACAGUAGAGUUCAAUGUUGUAUUAUUGUCCAGAUAUCAGAGUUUACCAGCAAACAGAUAGAGGCUCUGAUUACAGUGAAAAGGGAGGAAAGUAGGGAUUGUUAUGCCUAAUUCCCAUUUGGGGAGGUAGGCCUAUAUAUGCCUGAGGUGCAAACUACACACAGGGUCUGCUCAGGGCACAUUGACAUUUGCCGGCCCAGGGAGCCACACAAUAGGUCCCGUCCAAAAUAGUCUGUGUUUGUGUGAGGAAGUUCCCAUCUCUCAUCCUCUGCUGGUCUUUCAAGGGUGGGGACGAGAAAUCACAGGAAACACCUUCCCCUGUUCUCUGCAGCCCAGGCUCGUUCACUAAAUGUGCACAAUGAGAUAUUAAAAGCUCCAAACUUCCCUGAAAUAAUUGCAGGUCCACGCCUGAUGAAACAUAGUUGGAAUGUAGCGGGAUGGUGGAAAUGAGUGCGAGAACUUGGAAAAGUUAAGUAGAAGACUAAUGGUAUGCAUGAUUCUCUUCAACAUUUUAUUGAAGUGUUCCUCCUUGUCUUUACUUCACUUGAGGGGUAGGAGUCAUGGGAACUGAAUAGACUAAUUGCUUGUUAUAAUAUUUUUCACACUACUGAGCCGAGCCAAGCUGUACUGCAAUGGCCUGGUAAUGCAUUCACCAGAGCUGCUGGAAGUAUACAGUAUAACAGCGCCUCACCGUUUGACGAUACUAACAUGCUAGUAAGUAAACAGUUUAAAUGUACCAUUGUCUUCACCGCCUGAAGACUUCACCCCGAGAAGCAUGACACCGUCUUUGGCGUUGUCCGGCCUGCUCUGGAAAGAGGCACUGCAAAGAGGAGACAGCACGGCAUAUUGGUGGUAAAAUAGUAUUUUUGGACGAGAUCACAGUAUAUUUAAACAAUAAGGCCCGAGGGGCCGUGGUAUAUUAGCAAUAUACCACAAACCCCAGAGGUGCCUUGUUGCUAUUAUAAACUGGUUACCAACGUAAUUAGAACGGUAAAAAUACAUGUUCUGUCAUACACGUGAUAUACCACGGCUUUCAGCCAAUCAGCAUUCAGGGCCUGAAACCACCCAGUUUAUAAUUAAACUGUUCAAAUGGGGUCUUGUCUAAAUGGUAUCUUUAUGUACAGUCCAACGACUAUACUUACUUUUCUGUUCCAUUAUCAGUUAUCUCUGUUCAGGGACAAAAAAAAAAUUGAAUAAUGAGUGAUAUUUAGUUUGUAAUGAGUAUGUAGACAUAAUGCUGUGUAGAGUCACAGCUGUUUCAGUCAUUGAGUAGUACCUGUGUGAUCGUGGUCCUUCAUGCAUUUACUUUUCAG
rnacentral:lncRNA from 1 species